UCUUAUUAUUCACUUCUCUUCACAGCCUCCAAUCGUUUGAGUUUCUCUUAAUUUUUUGCGUCAGGAGUUCAAAUUUCUUAAGAAAAGAUUUAUCAAUCUAGGGCAUGAUCGCUUAAUUUGAUUGUUUCGAUUUUUUAGGCAGCUGAAAAUGCCAGGCAUUAAUUGGAGGGAAUGCCAAGCCGAGAUUGGGGUUACCGGUCUAACGGUGUCGGCAGGCGGCGGCUGGAGGACUCAGCUGCCUCCGGGUUCCAGACAUAGAAUUGUAGACAAAAUGUUAGAGAUGCUGAAGAAGCAUAUUCCCUUUGCUGGAGAAGAGGGACUACAUGAUCUUCAAGAAACUGCUCUCAGGUGUGAGGAAAGAAUUUUUAUGAAGGCAACAAGCCAGUCAGACUAUUUAAGAAAGAUAACUUCAGAAAUGCUGGGGGUCGAGAUGAGAUCCCAAAAACUUAGACUGAACCCUCUUCAGAGUAAUGCUGCAAGUACUAGCACAAACUCACAAGACCCAACUUCUCAAAGCAUGCAUUCCCAAAUCCAAAGUCAGGCCCAGCAAUUACCAACUCCAAUGGUCUCCAAUAUAUAUCGGCAACAUAUUUUAUCUCAAAAUACCCAGAAUAACAUUCAAUCAACUGGAGUGCCGAAUUCUACUGGUUUGACACACUCAAUGCCCCCUGUUGGUGGCAUGUCCCAGGUAUUGAAUCCGAUAUGGCUGGAUGUUACAGCUAAUAUGUAUGGAAACUCUCAGAGACAGAUUCCAGGUGUGCAGCAGCAGGUUGUUUCUCAGGAUACCCAACAACAUUCUCAGAAUCCUGUGGUGAAUUUGCUUCAGUCAAAUGGUGUAGCUGCAAGCAUGGAAGUCGGUGAUUGGAGGAGUCAACUACGUCCAGAUAUCAGAACAAGGGUAGUAAAUAAGAUAGUUGAGACAUUGAAGAGGCAUAUCCCUUUUUCUGGACCAGAUGAAGCCUUGGAAAUUGAAAGAAUGGCUGCUAGGUUUGAGGAAAUGACACAUUCUGUGGCAACAAGCCAGUCAGAUUAUUUGAGAAAGAUAUCUUUGAAAAUUCUGACAAUUCAUACAAGAUCUCAGAAUCCUAUUGCUCUUCUCUCUUAAUGAUGCAAGUGAUCCCAAGAUCUAGCUGCAUCUUCACCCGGUUCUAGUCAUUUGGGGCUCAUGUUUGUGUUGACGAUGCCACAUUGUGGCAAGGUUUUCCAUAUAUAGAGCUCCGGUGGGAGCAAUUGUGAUGCUGAGAAUGCGCUGCAAUGUUUCAAGAAUAAUAUAUAUGCAUAAGUGUAGUAUAUUGUACUAAUGUUUAUUUGCUGAGAAUCAUGGGAAACUGUCUCAACUAUUGCAAUAAACUUUAUUGCUAAAAACUAGGCUUGAUAAUGAGUGUGAUAUUUUGUGAUU